CGCCAGCACAUCCCUGACCACCGUCCCGGUAGUCACUCUUUCUCCCUCCUGUUUCUUUUAUUUUCGUACUUGUCCUCUUCCCUUUUCGUGGCUGACCUCUGUUCACCCGCGCAGCCACCACCACCGCGUGCCGCCGCCGCACGCAACUUCUUGCUCAGCCUUGCCGCGAACCACCGUCCGUCCGCCGGCCAGCUCUUCUCUCUCCUCCUUAAUUCUUGGCGGAGAAUUCUCUUUAGGCGACUUUUGAAAGUGUUAAAGUGGCCUAUCAGUUUGUUUACACAAGGAAUAAAAUGUUUCUUUCCAAGUAUACCAACAUAGGAUCUUUCGAGAAACUUGAUAUAGAAACCCCAGAUAUUUACGUGAAGAAAAUCAUGUUUGGAUGUGAAUAUUAUGCUAAAGUUCAAGGGCAACCUAUCUUAAUGAGAAAGGAUAUCAUAGCAGCUACUAUCAUUAAUUGCUUACCUAACAAAUUUCCAUACCUAGAACUCAAGGAAAAGUUUAAAGACAUGCAUUCUGAUAAUGGAACUCCAAACUUGGCUAAAUAUGGAAUUGGGAUGGUAGAUGGAAAUAUGAUUCAGAAAUUCUGACCACCAUUAUUGAGGCGGCAGAAAGUGGGUUUAGAGACGGUAAAAUCGUAGGGAGUCAUGUUGGAGAUGCAGUUACAGAAGAACCUAUGGGAGUAAGUGUAAAUAAUGACCUAGAGGAAAAUGAUGUAGCCGUGGAGAGUGAGAAUGUAGGUGUUGAGGCAGAGAAUCCUAACCUAGUGGCCCAUGAGCCAACCAUUGAAAUUUCUAAAGAUUUAGAUGCAGAUCUCGAAAGUGAGCAGGAGGUGGCAAAUGAGCCUAAUCAAGAUGAAGAUAUGGAAGAAGAUGAAGACCCUGAGGAAGAGUUUGAUGAUCUUGAGAUCUAAACUUGUUAGUUGAUCUUAUUUUUGUUGAUUGGUUUUUGGAUUAACUAGGUAAUCGAUUAUUUAUAAACCUAAAGUUAUUUAUUAUGUUUUUCGCUGCAAAAUUCUGAAUAAGCCGUUACGUUUUCACACGGGCGAUAAUGCCUUGAUAAUUCUCUACGUUUUACAUAAAAAGGUUAUUUUAGAAAAGAGAGAAUUUUCGGGGUGUUACAUUCUCAUACUCCAUUCAAAUACAACUCAUUAUUAGUAUAUUAUGAGUAAAAAUUCAUAGAAUACGUUAUUAGUAUAUCAGGAGUCAAAAUGUAACAGAUGAAGGUUAAUGAAUCAUUAGUGACGAAGAUUAUAAUUUUGAAUAAGCAAAAUAUAUAAUACA